rnacentral:lncRNA from 1 species
CCGUUUAUUAUCCAUUAUUUGCACAAAUAAAGAUGUUGCACUAGCCCAUUCAUAAUAUAACAAUAAUCCAUCCAAAUGGCCCUAUUUGAUUUAUUGACUGACUGGGCCAACUAUAUCACUAAUUCGAAUAUGGGAUCAAACUAGCACCUAAUAACAUGAUCUAAUAACAACGAAUUAACUAAGACCAACUGAUCUCGAAAUAAACAAUGUCAUUUAAACUAACACAUUGAAAUUAUAUACUCUAACUUCAAUUAUUCAAACUAAUCUGCUAAGAGCUGACCUUCUAUUAACAAACUACUAGAUGAAUACUGAUACAAAAUGAUAAACGAUUUGUUGAUUCAAAACAAACAGGUUAAGGUAGUCCCAAUUACACAAAUGAGGCCCAGUUUCCGAUAACAUGACAGUUAUACACUUUCAAACAAUGACAAAAUAGGAUAAGCUUUGGAAAUCAAAUCAAAUUCAUUUAACAUUCCAUCCUUCAAGUCAGAUCUACAAUGAUUAGUCAUAGUGUUCAUACACAGCCAAAGAAGUACCUGGAAGUGAAAAGUAACAGAAGAAAAGAGGAUGGUCAGCAGCAGUUCAAAACAGCAAAUCGUAGCAACAGGAAGCCACAGCAGCUCAGAUGCAGUUUAAAUAGUUCGAAAUGUUCAAAACCACAUUCAAAACCAGCAAAUCUAUUCCGGAAGUGAAGAUAAACACCAAAACAAACCAGGCUAGCUUGAAUAUACCAAAAUGAGUCAAAAUGACACCCAACAUGAUCAAAAACUUCAGCAAUCAGAACAUGAAACCAAGCUAUGCAAAUUCACACCACACCUUGAAACUGAACUAAAAUUGCAAUGGAACACUGAAAUUUCGUUGUUUCCUGAUUCUUUGUAUGUAGUUUUUUUUAUUUUUAUGUAUCCAAAUGUUGUAACUAAUCUAAGACUGGAAAUGAAAGGAAAAUCAGAUUUCUUGUGAAUUUUUAUGCUGAAAAAGUUCAAGCCCCCUUUGACAAGGCAAUUAAUGCCUUUAAAUAGGCCAAGAAGAAUUAAAACUUCAUCCAAAGGAUUUUAACAUCAUCCUUAUUCCCUUUUUUAAUUUAAAAUUCAUAAUUCUAACUUGCUACCCAAGUAAGUACUACCAAAAACUGAAAGCUACAGUUUCACCCCAAUUUAGAAGCAUAUAGGAUGCUCUUUUGGUUAUACAAUUCCUAAGUUACCCUUUUCUCGUUUUAAAAAUUACAAAACCUAAAGAUUCUACCCUUUUCUAUCUCCAAACUACCCUUGUUUUUACCCUAGAAUUACUACCCAACCCCAACCCCUUUUAUAGUUAAACUUCACUACAGUUAACUAAAGAGUGAACUUUCAGCUGCAACUUAUCUUAAACACUAAUUGACCCUAAUAUCAAAUAAUUGAUUAAAAAACUAAUAAACUGAAAUCAGUCCAAAUCCAAUUCUAAAUCCACCUUUGCAUGAACGGAACAAAGAAAAAGCCUGAUUAACUAACGGCCAAUUAUCAUCAAAACAUGUUAAACUGAAUUAUCACUAGAAAAUAAAAGUGAAGAAUAAUGAUAUCACGAUUAAACUAAAUGUAUAACACAAAUAAAUGAAAUUAUAGCAAGAUUAAUAAGAAACACAGUUGAAUCAAACAUUCACAAUAUCACAAAAAAUUUGAACAUAUGAGACAGCUAGAACGAAAAGGAAGAAGAAGAGAAACUAAACUAUCCUACUGAAGAAAAAGUCAUAAAAACAAAAGACGCUACCACAGAAAUCACUCGGCCCUGAAACAAAUCCCAUAAAACAGGUCAAGUUGCAUGAACCCUUAAUCCAAAAAUCUGCGAGCUCUACUGAGAUUCGAGAAAUUCUGGCAUGGAAAUCGUUAUGAGGUAGGUUACGGGACUGUAGGGUACGAAUUUAGAGCCAUUUGGGCAGAGUGGCAUUUUGGGCUCGAACUUCAGUCAAAUAUUCGAGGAAGUGCAGUUAGAUUCGAGGAAAGCUGAUGGCAUGAGUGGAAAGAGGAAGUGAAGAGAGAAAUUGGUGUUAUUUUGGUUGGAUUUGGUGACUGGCGCCGACACCGGCAGCUUAGGGAUUGGAGGACGGCGGUCUCUAAGGUUUUUGAGAGAGCGGUGUUUGGAGGAGACGAUGGAAGUGUGGGUGGGGGGGAGUUUGGACAGUUAUAUAAUAAAGAGUGGGGACUUCCUAGCCGUUAGAUCAUGAGACCUCGAC